AAGCCGCGGCAAUUCCAGCUCCAAUAGCGUAUAUUAAAGUUGUUGCAGUUAAAAAGCUCGUAGUUGAACUUCGGGGUUUACCCAUUGGUCAGGCUUAAUUGUCUGUACUGGUGAGAUAAAUCUCUACCUUCUGAGGAACUUUCAUGUCAUUAAUUUGGUGUGAUUGGAAAUCAGGACUGUUACUUUGAAAAAAUUAGAGUGUUUAAAGCAGGCUAACGUCUGAAUACAUUAGCAUGGAAUAAUGAAAUAGGACGGACUGAUUCUAUUUCGUUGGUUUCUAGGAUCACCGUAAUGAUUAAUAGGGAUAGUUGGGGGCAUUAGUAUUCAAUUGUCAGAGGUGAAAUUCUUGGAUUUAUUGAAGACUAACUACUGCGAAAGCAUUUGCCAAGGAUGUUUUCAUUAAUCAAGAACGAAAGUUAGGGGAUCGAAGACGAUCAGAUACCGUCGUAGUCUUAACCACAAACUAUGCCGACUAGGGAUCGGACGAAGUUAAUUUUAUAAUGACGCGUUCGGCGCCUUACG
rnacentral:misc_RNA from 1 species